rnacentral:rRNA from 1 species
AGUCACUGACAUUAGAUACCCCCGUAGUCCCAGCCGUAAACUAUGCUCGCUAGGUGUCAGGCAUGGCGCGACCGUGUCUGGUGCCGCAGGGAAGCCGUGAAGCGAGCCACCUGGGAAGUACGGCCGCAAGGCUGAAACUUAAAGGAAUUGGCGGGGGAGCACAACAACGGGUGGAGCCUGCGGUUUAAUUGGACUCAACGCCGGACAACUCACCGGGGACGACAGCAAUAUGUAGGCCAGGCUGAAGACCUUGCCUGAAUCGCUG